UUGUCCCCUUGCAAUAGUCGCACCUCCCUUUUUGGCUCCCAAACUUGGCAUUUUGGCUUCAUUUAUUUCAUAAAUUUUUAUUGAGCAUUUUCAAGUUGCUGGUUUUUUUUCACACAAAAAGAAAAGAGGACACUGUUCCAUUAUCUGGGCGGAGACAGAUAGGGAUACUCCAUUUUAUGGCGGGGAGAGGGGUUUAAAGAAGUAUAACAAUUUCCUCCUUUAUUCCUUUUAUUACUACCACCCAUGUUACCGUCCUGGAAACAACAUUUGUUGAUGAAAUGGAGAGGGGGAAUAACCAGUGAAAAUGGUUUUCCUUCAACUCUCCCCAACCCCUAAAAUGGACUAUCUCCCAAUGUCUAGGCCCCCUUUUGGCCUCAGCCCGUAUAAUGGAACAGUACCGAAAAGAGAAGCCAAAAACAAAAAAACAAAACAAAACAAAAACAAACAGGUUGGCUCUGCAUCUCGUGCUGCCAGAGCACAGUCUGUUUAGUGCCUUCCAAGUUGCCCAGUCUUCAGUGUGUCCAGGAGGGAGUCUCUCAUUUGGUACCAGCCAUGGAAUGAGGUUCUGGGUUUUAAUUUGCCACUUUUGGACUCUUGCUUGCUGAGGCGUUCCUGUCCUUCCACAGUCGUCUUCUUUUGGGGCAGCCAAUGAAAGGGAGGUCCUCUAGGUGAAGGUCGCCAGUUGGGUUCUGUCAGCAUGGAAUACAUGGAAAACUCAGAGAACCCCAGUGUCCAAAGGGGCCAUGGAUUGUGUGGGAGAAGAAGGCCAUCCUGGAGAGAACCUGAACCCAAACCAUGGAGGGCUCUUAAGGUCAAAACCAACACCUUGUGCUUUGCCUGGAAACUCAUUGGCAGCCAGUAAAGUGAUUUUAUUGUAGGUGUAAUAGGCUCACUCCUACAUAUUCUUGUUUACAAACUUGGUACAAAGUCAGCCCAAUGUGAAGCUCAUUGCAGAAGUCCAGCCUUACGGAGACCACCAUCUUUAGAUCCUCCAGACCUAGGCAGGGCGCAGGUGGCACAUCAGCCGAUGCUGAUAAUAGGCCUCCUGACAACUGACACAACUUGUGCGGACGUUUGGAGAGACGCAUCCAGGAAACCUUGUCCAAAGCUGUGGACCCUUCUUUUAGGGGGGAGUGUAUCCCCAUCCAUAACUGGCUGACAGACCUCCAUCCCCAGAUUAGGGCCCUUGAUGGCAAGCACCUCUUUCCUGCCUGGUUUUCCCUCAUCCAGCCCAUUACCUUCUCUAGGCAUGUGUUCAGAGAAGACACAUUCUCCUUAGCUGAGGCUGUUUUUGAAGACAUGGAAAAAUAUAUGAGGGUUUCACCAGCAUACAGAUAGCACCCUGCAUCCCAUGCCUCUGGAGGAUCUUUCAUGUAAAUAUUAAUAAGUAUUGAGGAUAGAAUGGCCCCUUGUGGGAUGAUGCCAUAGGACAGCUCCUUUUGGGGGGAGCAGCUCAGUCUCAAGUCCGGAUCCUGCUCUGAAGCCGGUUUGAAAUGAGUCAAGAAGUGUGUGUCCUCCAAGACAGCCUGGAGCUGGAGGGUAACUGCCUUCUCCAUUACUUUUCCCAAAAAAGGAAGCUUAGAGAUUGGUCUGUGAUUGUUAAGGCCCAGGGGAUCCAGGCAGGGCUUUUCCAGCAGCGCUGUAGCUGUGUAUGUAUUCCCUGAAAUUGAGACUAGGUAUGAUAUUAAUUUUUGCUCCAAAAGACGCAUUAGACGUAUUGUUUUUCCAUGUACACUUAUUCAAAUACACUUAUUCAAAUACAGUCAUUUCACCUUCUUCUGUAACAUUGUCAUAAGAUAAUGUCAAUAUUAUUAUUUAUAAAUAUGUAAUUAUACAUUACUAUUAUUAUUUUAACACAAUAUGUCUGUCUUGUAUUGUACUGGACGUACUACCUGCAAAAACGUCCAUCUGGAUGGCGAUCUUAACUGAGGAUUUUUUUUUUGGGGGUGGGGUGGUCGUGGUAAGGCUUAUUUACAAAGAUCAUAAAUAUCAUGCUAAG
rnacentral:lncRNA from 11 species